rnacentral:rRNA from 1 species
CCCUUAGAUGUCCUGGGCGGCCCGCGCGCUACAAUGUCAGCUACUGAAGGUUAAUGCUUUGAAAGAGAGCGCGCUCUCCUUUUAAUUGCUCGCAUGCUGGGAUAAAUGAAUGCAAUUUUGUUUUGAACGAGGAAUUCCUAGUAGCCAUGUUUCACUAGAAGAUGGCGAAUGGGUCCCUGCCCUUUGUACACACCGCCCGUCGCUCCUACCGAUGAGCGUUUUGGCGAAGACGGUUUGAGUAGCUGCGUAAUUUCGUGUUGUUGACUCCGGCAGUUUGAGCCUUCACGUUUAGAGGAAGGAGAAGUCGUAACA